AGAGAGUGGUGAGAAAAGGAGGGGCUCUCCCAGCUGAGGCCAACUAGCAGGCAGCCAGAAGGCAGGUGGAGGGGAAGCAGGAAAUCAUUUCUUGAAACAUUCUGACCUCCUCCUUGGGAAACCCUUCUGGAGAAAAAGAGCCUGACAACACUGCAGACUCACAACUUCCCUACCCAGCCUGGGCCCUAGAAACAAGGAACUCAAGUCCAAACCAUGCAUGGCUCUGCCGAGCUGCACGUGAACUUGACCCAAUUCACUGCGCUAAUUCCAGAAAUCCGAGCCACCCUCAAAGGAUAAUCAUGUUAUCAAGAUGCUCUCUUGUUGGCUUAGAGCUUUAUGGCCAACAAGAUGCUCUCCCACUACCAACGAAGGGUCUACCCUGACCUCUCCUCUACCCUCUGCCAGAGCCGGAUACAGCACCACCCAAGACAGACUGGAGAGCAACAGAGGCUUGACCUUGGGGACAUUCAGAAGUAAGCAGCUAGGAUAAGGUGGGGGUGGGGCACCAGUACUAGGGCUCGAAUCUGGCUUUCAUUCCUAGAUGAGGACGGUGCUCUUGGCCUAGACAUCCUCUAAAAAGAACAGAUUUUGAAGAAAAGAAUGUAGUGAGUGUGGGCAUAGCUCAUGUGAGUGAGCUAUACACAGUGCCAACCAGCCAUGAGGACAUUUUAGCCAAACAGCACUGCCCACCUUCCUCUGACAUCCCCAAGCUGGGGCAAGGAUCCUGAGGCCUCUACUCCAACCAGAGAUAGCUGGGGAGUUGAAGGGAGUUGAGUUGGGAAGGAAGAGUCAAAGGGAAAAGGUAGGAGAGAGAGGAGCCAAGAUGAGAGUAGGUACAUAGGAAACUACCAAGGACUGCACAAAUAUUUUUCUGACUCCCUGACACACCCAAGUACACCUUCACACACACCCAUAUACAUAGGACUGCGGCACUGCAAAUUCAGUGGUGUCAUUCACACUGUAGUCAAAUGUAAACGGUACUCCCUGGAAUUGUGCAGUGCACAGCCUGAGCAUCUAUCCAUGGCAGGCCUGCCUCAUGCACAUAUGCUCAUGUAUAAGAACACUCAUACUCACAAGUAUUCAUGCAUGCACACAAGCAUAUA